GGCGGACGGGUGAGUAACACGUGGAUAACCUACCUAUAAGACUGGGAUAACUUCGGGAAACCGGAGCUAAUACCGGAUAAUAUAUUGAACCGCAUGGUUCAAUAGUGAAAGACGGUUUUGCUGUCACUUAUAGAUGGAUCCGCGCCGCAUUAGCUAGUUGGUAAGGUAACGGCUUACCAAGGCAACGAUGCGUAGCCGACCUGAGAGGGUGAUCGGCCACACUGGAACUGAGACACGGUCCAGACUCCUACGGGAGGCAGCAGUAGGGAAUCUUCCGCAAUGGGCGAAAGCCUGACGGAGCAACGCCGCGUGAGUGAUGAAGGUCUUCGGAUCGUAAAACUCUGUUAUUAGGGAAGAACAAAUGUGUAAGUAACUAUGCACGUCUUGACGGUACCUAAUCAGAAAGCCACGGCUAACUACGUGCCAGCAGCCGCGGUAAUACGUAGGUGGCAAGCGUUAUCCGGAAUUAUUGGGCGUAAAGCGCGCGUAGGCGGUUUUUUAAGUCUGAUGUGAAAGCCCACGGCUCAACCGUGGAGGGUCAUUGGAAACUGGAAAACUUGAGUGCAGAAGAGGAAAGUGGARUUYCAUGUGUAGCGGUGAAAUGCGCAGAGAUAUGGAGGAACACCAGUGGCGAAGGCGACUUUCUGGUCUGUAACUGACGCUGAUGUGCGAAAGCGUGGGGAUCAAACAGGAUUAGAUACCCUGGUAGUCCACGCCGUAAACGAUGAGUGCUAAGUGUUAGGGGGGUUUCCGCCCCCUUAGUGCUGCAGCUAACGCAUUAAGCACUCCGCCUGGGGAGUACGACCGCACAGGUUGAAACUCAAAAGGAAUUGACGGGGACCCGCACAAGCGGUGGAGCAUGUGGUUUAAUUCGAAGCAACGCGAAGAACAUUACCAAAUCUUGACAUCCUCUGACCCCUCUAGAGAUAGAGUUUUCCCCUUCGGGGGACAGAGUGACAGGUGGUGCAUGGUUGUCGUCAGCUCGUGUCGUGAGAUGUUGGGUUAAGUCCCGCAACGAGCGCAACCCCUAAGCUUAGUUGCCAUCAUUAAGUUGGGCACUCUAAGUUGACUGCCGGUGACAAACCGGAGGAAGGGGGGGAGGACGUCAAAUCAUCACGCCCCCUAUGAUUUGGGGUACACACACGCUACAAUAGACAAAACAAAAGGUAGAGAAACCGCGAGGUCAAGCAAAUCCCAUAAAAUUGUUCUCAGUUCGGAUUGUAGUCUGCAACUCGACUAUAUGAAGCUGGAAUCGCUAGUAAUCGUAGAUCAGCAUGCUACGGUGAAUACGUUCCCGGGUCUUGUACACCCCGCCC
rnacentral:rRNA from 1 species